CAUUGGCAUCACCUGGGCUUUGCCAGUCAACCCAAAUUUCCCAAUUGCUGCUCUCAUUCUUUCUUCCUCGUUCCCUGGAUAUUCUUUUAUCAUAAAUUGUAAGGCGGACAUAUCUAAGUCAAGUUUCUCAGCCAAAUGCUGAUGAAAUUGUGCAAUCCUCAAGUGAUUGUGCCGCCGAACCAUGCCAUCAGUAGGGACCAAAUCUCCAGUCAUAAGCUUCAAUAGUGUGCUCUUCCCAGCACCAUUGGGCCCAACUAGAGCAAUCCUAGAGUCCAGAUCUACUCCAAAGUCAAGGUUCUUGUAGAUGAGAUUAUCAGGAGUAUAGCCAAAUGUAACUUCCACAAACUGAAGCACAGGAGGUGGCAGCUUCCCAACAUCAACAAAACGAAAGACCAGAACCUUGUCUCUGACAACCUUCUCAGUAAGCCCACCCCGCUCCAUUUUUGCAAGGGUUUUCUCCUUGCUCUGUGCUUGACGGGCUAAUUUUGCUGAACCAUGCCCAAAUCUGGCAAUGUACUCCUUCAUUGAAGCAAUCUGCUCCUGCUCCCACUUGUACUGUUUCAUCUGAUUCUCCUCCAGUUCAGCACGUGUCUGAACAUAUUGAUCAUAGUUCCCAGUGUAGAUCUUCAAUUUCUUGUUUUGCAUGUGUAUGAUAUUUGUGCAGACACCAUUCAAGAAAUCCUGGGAGUGAGACACCACAACUAGAAUGCGAUCAAAUCUCUUCAAAGUUUCCUCCAACCAGACACAGGCUUCUAAAUCAAGAUGAUUGGUAGGUUCAUCAAGCAAAAGGAUUGUAGGGUUCAUGAACAGAGCCCGAGCUAAUGCAAUCCUCAUCCUCCAGCCACCAGAAAAAUCCCGGGUUUUCUUUGACUGCAUCUGCUUGUUGAAACCCAGACCAUACAAUAUCUCAGCAGCACGUUUUUCAGCUGUAGAUGCAUCUAUAGCCUCCAAACGUUCAUAUAUACGUUCAAGAGUCUCUCCACCUCCAUCCUCCUGUGUACCUAAGAUUUCAGCUUCCUUCUCCAAUUUCACCCUCUCCUCAUCACAGCUAAUGACAGCCUGAAGAGCAGACAUGUCAGAAGCUUCAAUUUCUCUGGUGAGGUGAUAUAUAUCCAUGUGUUCUGGAAUUGGAAGCUCACGGCAACCUAUUGCAGUUAAGAGUGUUGAUUUCCCACAUCCAUUUAAUCCCAGCAAUCCAUAUCGUCUGCCAUAGUUAAGCUCAAGCAAAGAAUCGACAAUGAGAUCAUGUCCAUGGAAAGUAACUGAUAAAGACUCAAUGCGAAUAUCUCUGGAAAGAGGAUGAGAACAUAGGACGCCGGUACAAGUCCGAUCCGAUAUCUGAAUAGCGCCAACCCCAUUCGACAAAUUGUCAACACUUCCAUUAUCAGCUGAAGAAGCAGCAGCAGCAGCAGCACCAACAGAGGUCUAGAAACCCAUUUCAAGAUCUCAAUAAUGGUGGCGGUAUUACUAGCUCCGGCACCAACGUCGAUGGCCAUGAUAGUUGCAGCAAUGCUUCUUCUUUGUCCUCCGUUGAAGCUCCUAAGGGCUGUCUCAGGUUCUUUCUCUCUCAUACUUCUUCUUCUACCAAAACCCCUUUCACUAGUACUAGUCACAGACCCACUAGAGUAAAACUCCUUUCCUCGAAAACUCCUAAGACUGCCCCUAAUGUGCGUCCAGCGAAGGAGAACUUGUCGAGAAGAACCAUUUUUUGUAAACCCAUUUCGCAGAAGUUGGAGAAAGUUACGUUAGGCCUUCCUCAAUCUGGAAGCAAACCCAACUCGAGGAAUGUUUCAAAUUCGAAACUUUCUUCAGUUUUGGACAGCAGUGGCAGUCCUAAAAAUAAAAUGAAAACUUGCUCUAGAGAGUUGAAACAGGUAGUAGUUGAUGGAGUUAGAGACUGUGAUGGAUCAAAUUCGACUUCUUUAAAUAAGGUGGCAUAUGGGUCGGGUUUGAAUCUCGUAGUCGACAAUAAGGUUAGAAAUGAGGAUGGUGAUGACGAGAAAUCAAACACUAAAACUAAUAUUAACACAAACACAACAAGUAGUAAUAGUAAGACGCCUCCAGUUCAGGCCUCAGUAUCUCCAGAGAUACAAUGCGGGUCAUCUAUGAUGUCUGCGACAACGAAAACAAUCACCCCAGUUUGUUAUGGUGCUGGCCAUGUUGUGUCGGGGGUCACUGACAAGAGGAAGUGUAGGCCUAGAGGGAUACUCACUGUAGGAGAAGCUAAGCUUCUUGAUUGUUUUGAUAGCGAUGAUGAAUCUGAACAAGAGAAUGCCCCAGUUAUUGUCAACAAUUCUAGUAUUCCCAUGUUGCCUUUGCCUGCUGAGGCUUCAAUGCUUUGGCUUUUAUCGCCCUGUAAUGAGGAUGAGGAUCAAAAUGAAAUUUCUGAGGACGGUUCAUGUUGUAUACGGAGGUUAAAGGAGACUGCCAUACACAAUUUUCCUGCUUCACCUUCAUGUGGCAAUAAUGUGUUCUCACCACAUUUAUGCAAUAAUGACACUGAUAAAAGUAUUUCUACUACCAGUCCUAGGAGCAAGACAAGGAGUGCAUCUUUGCUUUCCCCAAGGGAAGGACUUGUGGCGCCUCCUUUGUUUGAUCAUAAUGCUGUUAUAUGUUCGGAAGAAGGGAGGAAGAACUGCUAUGAACUUGAUGAAGAGAACUCCCCAUUGUCCAUAGAUUCCUUGCGGAAUGGAAAUGUAAUUCAAACCCCACAGUCUGACUCUAGCUCAGAUGGACGAUUUGGCAUAUCCUGGUUAAAUAAAGACGGUGAUAGAAAGAAUAGUAACUUCGAUUGCGAACUCAAUACAGUAGCUCAGCAUCUUCAGAUGGCUAGUUUUUCUCCCAAGAGCCAUGUGUCAAUAUGGGAUCCAACCAGUUCAAGUUUUCAGUUUGAUCAUUUGGCUACAUCUUCCAAUUCUAUUGACCUUUCCCAGUUUCAGAAAAUUUUGGAUGAUCAGGCUUCUUGGUUUUCUAAUUCAGCAACAGAACGUGUCUCACAAUCUCAAAUGAGGAUAUCAUGGAGGGAAGGAUUGGUUAGUCGGAUCUUUGAGAUGGAUGAAUUUGAUUCAUGCCGAUGCUUAUCAGAUGAAGAGGAUGAUGCCAAGAGCUGCAACGAUGACUUAAAAUCUCUCUGGAGUCCUGAUCUCAAUGUUGAUGCAGUGAAUGAAAAUAUUUCAACUAAUGGUUCUGUAUCUACCAUAUUUGUAGACAGUGAACAUGGAAUUGAUGGAAAAGCAAAGGAGGGGCUUCCUUCUCAGGUACCAUGUUCAUGUGCAGAGUCUAUAAGCACUGAUGGCGGUGGUCUUGUUUGUUCAGAGGAUUCAGAUUGGACCUUAUGCUACAAGAACCAAUUGUUUCAAUCAUAAUGAUGACCCUCUUUAUUAUUCCUUAGCUCAAAUAGAAUAACCUUGUUAGCCUCAGCUCAAAAAGGUUCCUAAGGACCACCACUGUAAUCUAUUUGUUCCAUAAUUUGUAUUUGAAUUCCGGUUUUCUUGAAUUUCUUAAUUUUAAGAUACUGCUCUUUGUUGUAUCAUCUUGAAUGUAUUUAGGAACUUUUUUCUCCUUUUUCUUUUUAAAAUUUCAACCCAUUUCUUU
rnacentral:misc_RNA from 1 species